UACGUAGGGUGCAAGCGUUUGUCCGGAAUUAUUGGGCGAAGAGCUCGUAGGCGGUCUGUCGCGUCUGCUGUGAAACUCGGGCUUAACCCGGCCUGCAGUGGGUACGGGCAGACUAGAGUGCGGUAGGGAGACUGGAAUCCUGGUGUAGGCGGUGAAAUUCGUAGAUAUCAGGAGGAACACCGGUGGCGAAGGCGGCCAUCUGGAAUCUACUGACGCUGGAGACGCGAAAGCGUGGGGAGCAAACAGG
rnacentral:rRNA from 1 species